rnacentral:rRNA from 1 species
GUGGGGAAUCUUCCGCAAUGGACGAAAGUCUGACGGAGCAACGCCGCGUGAGUGAAGAAGGUUUUCGGAUCGUAAAGCUCUUUCGUUAGGGACGAACGUGCUCUUUGUGAAUAAUGAGGAGUAAUGACGGUACCUAAAUAAGAAGCCACGGCUAACUAUGUGCCAGCAGCCGCGGUAAUACGUAGGUGGCAAGCGUUGUCCGGAAUUAUUGGGCGUAAAGCGCGCGCAGGCGGGAUAUCAAGUCUGUCUUAAAAGUGCGAGGCUCAACCUCGUGAGGGGACAGAAACUGGUAUUCUUGAGUGUCGGAGAGGAAAGUGGAAUUCCAAGUGUAGCGGUGAAAUGCGUAGAGAUUUGGAAGAACACCAGUGGCGAAGGCGACUUUCUGGACGAUGUCUGACGCUGAGGCGCGAAAGCUAGGGGAGCGAACGGGAUUAGAAACCCGGGUAGUCC